GCGGCGGACGGGUGAGUAACGCGUGAGCAAUCUGCCUCAUACAGGGGGAUAACAGGCGGAAACGCCUGCUAAUACCGCAUAAGACCACGCCACCGCAUGGUGGAGCGGUCAAAGGGUGCACAGACGAGAGGCUGUGCAUACCGGUAUGAGAUGAGCUCGCGUCCCAUUAGCUUGUUGGUGAGGUAACGGCUCACCAAGGCGACGAUGGGUAGCCGACCUGAGAGGGUGAUCGGCCACACUGGGACUGAGACACGGCCCAGACUCCUACGGGAGGCAGCAGUGGGGAAUAUUGCGCAAUGGGGGGAACCCUGACGCAGCAACGCCGCGUGAGCGAAGAAGGCCUUCGGGUCGUAAAGCUCUGUCAUAGGGGAAGAGGAGAAGACGGUACCCUAUGAGGAAGCCCCGGCUAACUACGUGCCAGCAGCCGCGGUAAUACGUAGGGGGCGAGCGUUGUCCGGAAUUACUGGGCGUAAAGGGUGCGUAGGCGGCCUGAUAAGUCAGAUGUGAAAUACCAGG
rnacentral:rRNA from 1 species